CGGGACUGGUAACAGACUACAGCAUAUCGGGACUGGUAACAGACUAUAGCAUAUAGGGACUGGUAACAGACUACAGUUUAUAGAACCUGGUAGAGUUAAGAAAAUAUUUAUAAAAUAAACUAAAGUAUUUUUUUUAAAUAAAAAGUAACACCAUAAAAUUACAUAACAAUAACAAGGCUAUAUACAAGGGGUACUGGUACAGAGUCAAUGUACGGGGUUACAGGUUAGUCGAGGUCAGUGGGGUACAGGUUAGUCGAGGUAGGUGGGGUACAGGUUAGUCGAGGUCAGUGGGGUACUGGUACAGAGUCAAUGUACGGGGUUACAGGUUAGUCGAGGUCAGUGGGGUACAGGUUAGUCGAGGUAGGUGGGGUACAGGUUAGUCGAGGUCAGUGGGGUACUGGUACAGAGUCAAUGUACGGGGUUACAGGUUAGUCGAGGUCAGUGGGGUACAGGUUAGUCGAGGUAGGUGGGGUACAGGUUAGUCGAGGUCAGUGGGGUACUGGUACAGAGUCAAUGUACGGGGUUAAAGGUUAGUCGAGGUCAGUGGGGUACAGGUUAGUCAAGGUAGGUGGGGUACAGGUUAGUCGAGGUCAGUGGGGUACUGGUACAGAGUCAAUGUACGGGGUUAUAGGUUAGUCGAGGUCAGUGGGGUACAGGUUAGUCGAGGUAGGUGGGGUACAGGUUAGUCGAGGUAGGUGGGGUACAGGUUAGUCGAGGUAGGUGGGGUACAGGUUAGUCGAGGUCGGUAGGGGUACAGGUUAGUCGAGGUUAGGUGGGGUACAGGUUAGUCGAGGUAGGUAGGGGUACAGGUUAGUCGAGGUCGGUAGGGGUACAGGUUAGUCAAUAUGUGGGGGUACAGGUUAGUCGAGGUCAGUAGGGGUACAGGUUAGUCGAGGUAGGUAGGGGUACAGGUUAGUCGAGGUAGGUAGGGUACAGGUUAGUCGAGGUAGGUGGGGUACAGGUUAGUCGAGGUCGGUAGGGGUACAGGUUAGUCAAUAUGUGGGGGUACAGGUUAGUCGAGGUCGGUAGGGGUACAGGUUAGUCGAGGUAGGUAGGGGUACAGGUUAGUCGAGGUAGGUAGGGUACAGGUUAGUCGAGGUAGAUGGGGUACAGGUUAGUCGAGUUAGGUGGGGUACAGCAUAGUCGAGGUAGGUAGGGGUACAGGUUAGUCGAGGUCGGUAGGGGUAUAGGUUAGUCAAUGUGUGGGGGUACAGGUUAGUCAAGGUCGGUAGGGGUACAGGUUAGUCAAUGUGCGGGGGUACAGGUUAGUCGAGGUCGGUAGGGGUACAGGUUAGUCAAUGUGC
ensembl:lncRNA